rnacentral:lncRNA from 1 species
GUGUCACCACGGCCAUCGUUCCCUCUGCCACGCUCCCUCCUCAGUGUCACCACGGCCAUCGUUCCCUCUGCCACGCUCCCUCCUCAGUGUCACCACGGCCAUCGUUCCCUCUGCCACCUCCCUCCUCAAUGUCAGCCAUGGCCAUCGUUCCCUCUGCCACGCUCCCUCCUCAGUGUCACCAUGGCCAUCGUUCCCUCUGCCACGCUCCCUCCUCAGUGUCACCAUGGCCAUCGUUCCCUCUGCCACGCUCCCUCCUCAGUG